rnacentral:rRNA from 1 species
UACGUAGGGCGCAAGCGUUGUCCGGAAUUAUUGGGCGUAAAGAGCUCGUAGGCGGUUUGUCGCGUCUGCUGUGAAAACCUCAGGCUCAACCUGGGGCUUGCAGUGGGUACGGGCAGACUAGAGUGCGGUAGGGGUGACUGGAAUUCCUGGUGUAGCGGUGGAAUGCGCAGAUAUCAGGAGGAACACCGAUGGCGAAGGCAGGUCACUGGGCCGCAA